UACGAAGGGGGCUAGCGUUGCUCGGAAUCACUGGGCGUAAAGCGCACGUAGGCGGAUCUUUAAGUCAGGGGUGAAAUCCCAAGGCUCAACCUUGGAACUGCCUUUGGUACUGGGGAUCUCGAGUCCGGAAGAGGUGAGUGGAACUGCGAGUGUAGAGGUGAAAUUCGUAGAUAUUCGCAAGAACACCAGUGGCGAAGGCGGCUCACUGGUCCGGUACUGACGCUGAGGUGCGAAAGCGUGGGGAGCAAACAGG
rnacentral:rRNA from 1 species